GACGGAGGGUGCAAGCGUUGUUCGGAAUUACUGGGCGUAAAGCGUGCGCAGGCGGUUCGCUAAGACAGAUGUGAAAUCCCCGGGCUUAACCUGGGAACUGCAUUUGUGACUGGCGGGCUAGAGUAUGGCAGAGGGGGGUAGAAUUCCACGUGUAGCAGUGAAAUGCGUAGAGAUGUGGAGGAAUACCGAUGGCGAAGGCAGCCCCCUGGGCCAAUACUGACGCUCAUGCACGAAAGCGUGGGGAGCAAACAGG
rnacentral:rRNA from 1 species